rnacentral:lncRNA from 1 species
GGUAGAACAAUAUUUACAAUAUAAAAAUAAUCUGUAGCAUGAAAGACAUGACUAUGAAUAGAUGGCACUAUAACAAUAACAAGGUCUGCAUUGAGGGGACUAUAACAAUUAUCAAGGUCUGCAUUGAGGGGACUAUAACAAUUAUCAAGGUCUGCAUUGAGGGGACUAUAACAAUUAUCAAGGUCUGCAUUGAGGGGACUAUAACAAUAACAAGGUUUGCAUUGAGGGGACUCAUUUUUUUAUUCUUUAAUUUUUAACAUCAUUUUCCUUGUUAUUUUUGAUUCAUUUUUCAUGGAAUUUUAUCAAAGUACUAGAAUAGUUUAAGAUUUGUCUUUCUUGUUUUAUAUCUCAACACCCUUUGUGUCUGUAUUUAUAAAACGUUUCCCCAUUUUUCUCUAUUUUUUAUUUCAAAACUUUUCUCUAUUUUUUUCAAAACUUUUCUCUGCUCAUUAUUGUCUAUUUUUUUUAUACUUUUCGAUUUCUCUAUUCUAUAUUUUACCACUAAUAAGUCUCUCCUCAGUAAACUUUAACAAUUCUCUCAAUAAAACAUAGUAUAUACAUAUAUAAUUUACAUUUAAAAGACUCACAUGAAAAUGUAUUUUUAUUUUGGGGGCAUACCAUCUGUUUCAUUGAAUACUUUAAAAUAAUGUAUACAUAAAUUGCAAAUAUAAUACAUCAACAAAACAAGGCCACAUUGAAAUAAAAAAAAAAUGGCUUCUCAUAACUCAGAGCUAAAACUACAUUAACACACACAUAGUAGUCUCAGCUCAAUAAAAAAACCAAGUGUAUGGAUUUCUAAAUAUUAAGUAUUGCUGAUUAUUAUUUAUUAGUGGUCCAGGAAUUUGAUUUAUUAAACAUCAAAGAAAGGUAUCUGCACAAUUCUGAUCCUUAGAUUAGAAAUAAAAAGAAGAUCUAGAAAAUGUAGACGUCACUCCGAAAAUUGAAAUUAAAUAUUAUGUAUAGAUAUAAUGUUUGCCAUUGUCUAUUUGUUUAUUUUUUAAGUGGAGGUUUAUGGUGAUGUGUUUAUUUUUUA